UGUGAAGGUGGCCUGUGAGGGUUGCUGGAGGUAUCAGAAGUGCGAAUGCUGACAUAAGUAACGAUAAAGCGGGUGAAAAGCCCGCUCGCCGGAAGGCCAAGGGUUCCUGUCCAACGUUAAUCGGGGCAGGGUGAGUCGACCCCUAAGGCGAGGCCGAAAGGCGUAGUCGAUGGGAAACAGGUUAAUAUUCCUGUACUUGGUGUUACUGCGAAGGGGGGACGGAGAAGGCUAUGUUGGCCGGGCGACGGUUGUCCCGGUUUAAGCGUGUAGGCUGGUUUUCCAGGCAAAUCCGGAAAACCAAGGCUGAGGCGUGAUGACGAGGCACUACGGUGCUGAAGCGACAAAUGCCCUGCUUCCAGGAAAAGCCUCUAAGCAUCAGGUAACAUCAAAUCGUACCCCAAACCGACACAGGUGGUCAGGUAGAGAAUACCAAGGCGCUUGAGAGAACUCGGGUGAAGGAACUAGGCAAAAUGGUGCCGUAACUUCGGGAGAAGGCACGCUGAUAUGUAGGUGAAGCGACUUGCUCGUGGAGCUGAAAUCAGUCGAAGAUACCAGCUGGCUGCAACUGUUUAUUAAAAACACAGCACUGUGCAAACACGAAAGUGGACGUAUACGGUGUGACGCCUGCCCGGUGCCGGAAGGUUAAUUGAUGGGGUUAGCGGUAACGCGAAGCUCUUGAUCGAAGCCCCGGUAAACGGCGGCCGUAACUAUAACGGUCCUAAGGUAGCGAAAUUCCUUGUCGGGUAAGUUCCGACCUGCACGAAUGGCGUAAUGAUGGCCAGGCUGUCUCCACCCGAGACUCAGUGAAAUUGAACUCGCUGUGAAGAUGCAGUGUACCCGCGGCAAGACGGAAAGACCCCGUGAACCUUUACUAUAGCUUGACACUGAACAUUGAGCCUUGAUGUGUAGGAUAGGUGGGAGGCUUUGAAGUGUGGACGCCAGUCUGCAUGGAGCCGACCUUGAAAUACCACCCUUUAAUGUUUGAUGUUCUAACGUUGGCCCGUAAUCCGGGUUGCGGACAGUGUCUGGUGGGUAGUUUGACUGGGGCGGUCUCCUCCUAAAGAGUAACGGAGGAGCACGAAGGUUGGCUAAUCCUGGUCGGACAUCAGGAGGUUAGUGCAAUGGCAUAAGCCAGCUUGACUGCGAGCGUGACGGCGCGAGCAGGUGCGAAAGCAGGUCAUAGUGAUCCGGUGGUUCUGAAUGGAAGGGCCAUCGCUCAACGGAUAAAAGGUACUCCGGGGAUAACAGGCUGAUACCGCCCAAGAGUUCAUAUCGACGGCGGUGUUUGGCACCUCGAUGUCGGCUCAUCACAUCCUGGGGCUGAAGUAGGUCCCAAGGGUAUGGCUGUUCGCCAUUUAAAGUGGUACGCGAGCUGGGUUUAGAACGUCGUGAGACAGUUCGGUCCCUAUCUGCCGUGGGCGCUGGAGAACUGAGGGGGGCUGCUCCUAGUACGAGAGGACCGGAGUGGACGCAUCACUGGUGUUCGGGUUGUCAUGCCAAUGGCACUGCCCGGUAGCUAAAUGCGGAAGAGAUAAGUGCUGAAAGCAUCUAAGCACGAAACUUGCCCCGAGAUGAGUUCUCCCUGACUCCUUGAGAGUCCUGAAGGAACGUUGAAGACGACGACGUUGAUAGGCCGGGUGUGUAAGCGCAGCGAUGCGUUGAGCUAACCGGUACUAAUGAACCGUGAGGCUUAACCUU
rnacentral:rRNA from 2 species